rnacentral:misc_RNA from 1 species
AAGUCGUAACAAGGUUUCCGUAGGUGAACCUGCGGAAGGAUCAUUAUUGAAUUAAACUUGGUUUAGAUUGUUGCUGGCUCUGUCGAGUAUGUGCACGUCUAUUCCAUUUUUUAAAACCCCCUGUGCACUUUGUGUAGACCUGAACACUCUUCAAGAGGUAUAUAAUCUUGAGAUCUGAGGCUUGCCGUGUGUUGAAACACAGCUUUCCUUGCACGUUCUAGUGUCUAUGUCUCUACUAUUAUACCCUUCAUUAAAACAUAUUAGAAUGCUCCAUAUAGGCCUUUGUGCCUUUUAAAAUAAAAUACAACUUUCAACAACGGAUCUCUUGGCUCUC